rnacentral:rRNA from 1 species
UACGUAGGGUGCGAGCGUUGUCCGGAAUUACUGGGCGUAAAGAGCUCGUAGGUGGUUUGUCGCGUUGUUCGUGAACACUCACAGCUUAACUGUGGGCGUGCGGGCGAUACGGGCAGACUGGAGUACUGCAGGGGAGACUGGAAUUCCUGGUGUAGCGGUGGAAUGCGCAGAUAUCAGGAGGAACACCGGUGGCGAAGGCGGGUCUCUGGGCAGUAACUGACGCUGAGGAGCGAAAGCGUGGGGAGCGAACAGG